UCUCAUGUAUGUGCAGAGAAAGUAGUUUCUUGAGAUAGAAUCUAUUUCUGGUGAAGAUGCUGUGAA
rnacentral:pre_miRNA from 1 species